GAUGAAGAACGUAGCGAAAUGCGAUAAGUAAUGUGAAUUGCAGAAUUCAGUGAAUCAUCGAAUCUUUGAACGCACCUUGCACUCCUUGGUAUUCCGAGGAGUACGCCUGUUCGAGUGUUAUGAAGCUCUCAAAACGCAAUUGGCUUAAAACCUGAUUGUUGUUUUGGAUUUGAACUUUGCCGUGUUAUAACGGCUGGUUUUAAAAGUAUUAGCUGGUACUAGAACGAAUUGGUUCUACUCAACGUGAUAAUUAUCUGAUCGUUGAGGACAUUCCUUUCACGAGGAAUGGCCAUAGUAAAUUCAAUGGACUGCUUCUAAUCUGGCUUUAAUUCUUUAUUGGAUUAACCACUUUUCAAAUCUGACCUCGAGUCAGGUGGGACUACCCGCUGAACUUAAGCAUAUCAAUAAGCGGAGGA
rnacentral:misc_RNA from 1 species